rnacentral:lncRNA from 1 species
CCCUGUUCAGCCUUUGCCCCCAGUGAGAUUGCCACUGAGGGCUCGGCCAGGCUUUGUGUUCGGAGAGUGAGUGGAAGGCAGAGGGAGGCCGCCAGGCUAAUUGUGCCCUUUGACCUUAUCCAAAUUGGCAGGAGAAAUGCGUGUGAGGGGAUCUCUUCGGGAGAGGAAAGAGGACAAUGCAGGUUAAGUACCACAGAGUGGGGAGCAGAGACAAGUAUCACAGCUCUGACAUUCUGGGCUUCCAACUGCAGUGUGUAAUUAAACUCCAGAGCAUCUGGCUUCCCAAGUUGAAAGAACAAGCUUGGAGGAAUGAAAAAGGAAGAGAAAGAUCCUUCUGGGUUGCCCAUUUGUGCAUCAGCCUCAUUGCCAGCCGUCACACCAGGGGGAUGCAGCAAGAUGCAGCCCCUGAGAGCAGGGCUCAGGCCAGCAGGUGCUUCCCAGCAGGGUUCAGACACUGUGGGGAGUAUUUGAGACUGUGGAGGGGUGAGAGGUCAAGUCAGUACUGCUUUAUGGUUACUGUGAUUUGGAUAUGGUCUGAGUGUCCCUAAAGGUCCACGUUUUAAAGGUUUGAUCUCAGUGUGGUGGUGCUGGGAGGUGUUUGAACCUUUAAGAGGUGGGGCCUAGUGGGGGUCCUUGGGCUAGUGGAGGCUUACCCUCAGAAGGUAUUAACAGUUCCGUGAGAUGGUGGCAGUCCACCUGAUCUUGAAUUUUAAACCUCCAACACUAGGAGCUAAGUAAAUUUAUUUACUUGUAAGUUAACCUGCCUCAUGUAUUUCAUUAUAGUAACWCAAAGCUGACUGAUACAAUGGUCAAACAAUAGAUCAUGUCCUGGACACAAUGAUCCUGGCCACUUUCAAGUACAUGUGACAGAUUGGGGAGCAGUGCCAGGGAGAACUAAAUUGGAAAAGGUGAAAUCGAACACUGUGUUAUGUGAGAAGCAAGACAGUAUAGCUCACAUAUUGUGUGAUGCUAUUUAUAUAAAAUAUCUAGAAUAGGUAAAUUAUAUUCAAAGAGACAGACUGCAGAYUGGUAGAUGCCAGGGGUUGGGGAGAGAGGUACAUGCAGCGUACCUCUUCAUAGGACAUUUCCUUUUGGAGGGAUGAGGUGUUUUGGAACUAGCUGAAAGUAGUGGUUGUACAACACUGUGAAUAUACUAGUUGCCAUUAACUUAUUCACUUUAAAAUAGUUAAUUUUAUGUUAUAUGAACUUUUGUGGCUGUAGCACAGUAGCUUGCACACUGAAACCACCUGGGGAGUUUUAAAAUCCCAAAACCCAGCCCCACCCUUGAUUAAUUAAACUUGACUCUGGGAACAAUAUUUUUAAAGUUUCCCUGGGAGGAUCUAAUGUAGAGUCACUGUGGUAGAUAAAUAUUCAAUGACAUAGAAAGAUGUCUGCUAUAUACUACUAUAAAGUGAAGAAAAGCAAUUAUCUAAGUGUGUACUAUAUCACUUCUUGUGGUAAAUUUCUCAUGCAUGUCAUACACAGACUCACACAUACGAACAAUAAAUGCAGAAGCAAUGACA